rnacentral:tRNA from 1 species
GUCAGGAUGGCCGAGCGGUCUAAGGCGCUGCGUUCAGGUCGCAGUCCGGUCUUCCGGGCGUGGGUUCGAAUCCACUUCUGACA